GAUCGUCUUGCAAGUCCCGUUACCGUCUUGCGAAACGAUUAUAUCGGCCUGUAUGGCCGACACCGGCAAGCUUAACAGUUUCCUUUCUUUCCUCCCCAACCAACUCGGGAGAUCAUCGGCAUUUUCUUCAGAUAUCUCGGCAUCCAUCAGUCUCCGCCGGUUCUGUAUCGGAAUGCCCGAGAAAUCGUCGCCGUCGGUAGCAGAAAAAAUUGCCAAGCAGUUGCUUACUAACUCUGACAAGUCCUUCAACUUAUCGGACAUCUGAUCCUUCACAGGUCCAUUCAAGCUCGCCAAUCCCUCCGUACACGUGUCCUGAUUAGUCAGCGCAGCGCUUAGCCAAGUGACCACGUCUUCAGUGGAUCCGCCGGGCUUUAUCUGUCCGGCGGGGUUCCCCUCCAACGACGGCGCAACGGUGGAGAGCGAGCGUGAAAGCGCGUCCACAGAGUCAUCAAGCAGCUCGAGGCAGUCCUCGUACGCCGAUUGUACACGCGUAUCCAUCUGGAGAUAAGAGAUCUCCGACGAAAGGUAUAAAGCUUUAGUAAAGUGCUGCAGAGUCAUGUUGAAGGAAAUGUGGACGAGGUCCUCCUCGGAGGCAGCAGUAGAACCAGGAAAAUCAAGCAACGAGUUAACACAGAGAGCCGGGAACCGAGUCUUGCUGCAUGUUUUAGAAAUAGCCUUGGUGGGCUUCGGGAUUACAACUGGGCUUGGUUGGCCAGAAGGGCGGGAACGUAGCCAGAUUAAAAGCGCGGCGGAGACAGCAGAGGCGAUGAUCAAGGCGAUGGAUAGAAGGGAAAGAAGGAUUACCCCCCUUUUGCGGGAAGGGUGAGGCGUGGCGUAUUCUGGUUGGUUGAUAGGUUGGGAGGAUCCGCCGGGUUCGGAGGGUCCG
rnacentral:misc_RNA from 1 species